UACCACCACAUGAACUCCCUCCCUUUUGUGCCUGAACAAACUAUUGCCUUAGGUUUAUUAGGGCUUCAUGCUCUCACCUGACCUACUGGACUAGCCCCUAACGAUCUUGCGCAACCUUAUGCACAGCAUCCAUGAUACAGAUUAGUAUCAUUCCAGUCCCCUGGUUAAACAACUCUAUCCUAACAGGGAAGGAUCCUCUGUCCUAGGUCCUUAGCGCCUCCUCCCUGAAGCCUUCUCUGAUCUUUCUCCUCUAUGUUUCCAGCAUCCCGUAUAAUAUAAACGUAUAUCUCUUUUUUGGGCUCUCACAACCUUCUGCCUUGUACUGUAUUUAAUUGGGACAAGUAAACUUCUACAUGGUAGGAGCCAUGUUUCAUUCAGCUCUAUUCACACCAUCUCUAUUCCUGCCAUCACGAGGCCUAUAUUCGUAUGUUUAUUGAAGGAAUGACUAUAUACACUUUUUAAAAUUUCUCCAGUGGGGUGGUUUUAUUCCUUCCACCAACAUGUGGCUCUUGGCCUGGCUGGUAUGGCUCAUUGGUUGGGCUU